GCAGAGUCUUACUGGAGUGUUUUUGGUGGUAUUACUCAUGCAUAUGUCAAAGCAAAACUGCUAUGGAGGAGACUGGGUGAGGUGAUGAAGCUUCUACAUUAAAAAGCAUACCAUGGAGGCCUUGUCUCCUCUUGGAUGGAGGUGGAGCUGUGUGGCAAGCUGCCCCUGUGGCCUGCAUCGAUGAUGGGAGCAGGCUGCUGAGAACUGGGGUCACACUACCCUAAGCACCCCAGAAAACUGAUUCACCAGGCUCGUUGAAAUAAGCUUGGGGCA
rnacentral:lncRNA from 1 species